AUGAACGCUAGCUACAGGCUUAACACAUGCAAGUCGAGGGGCAGCAUGGUCUUAGCUUGCUAAGGCUGAUGGCGACCGGCGCACGGGUGAGUAACACGUAUCCAACCUGCCGUCUACUCUUGGCCAGCCUUCUGAAAGGAAGAUUAAUCCAGGAUGGGAUCAUGAGUUCACAUGUCCGCAUGAUUAAAGGUAUUUUCCGGUAGACGAUGGGGAUGCGUUCCAUUAGAUAGUAGGCGGGGUAACGGCCCACCUAGUCAACGAUGGAUAGGGGUUCUGAGAGGAAGGUCCCCCACAUUGGAACUGAGACACGGUCCAAACUCCUACGGGAGGCAGCAGUGAGGAAUAUUGGUCAAUGGGCGAUGGCCUGAACCAGCCAAGUAGCGUGAAGGAUGACUGCCCUAUGGGUUGUAAACUUCUUUUAUAAAGGAAUAAAGUCGGGUAUGCAUACCCGUUUGCAUGUACUUUAUGAAUAAGGAUCGGCUAACUCCGUGCCAGCAGCCGCGGUAAUACGGAGGAUCCGAGCGUUAUCCGGAUUUAUUGGGUUUAAAGGGAGCGUAGAUGGAUGUUUAAGUCAGUUGUGAAAGUUUGCGGCUCAACCGUAAAAUUGCAGUUGAUACUGGAUGUCUUGAGUGCAGUUGAGGCAGGCGGAAUUCGUGGUGUAGCGGUGAAAUGCUUAGAUAUCACGAAGAACUCCGAUUGCGAAGGCAGCCUGCUAAGCUGCAACUGACAUUGAGGCUCGAAAGUGUGGGUAUCAAACAGGAUUAGAUACCCUGGUAGUCCACACGGUAAACGAUGAAUACUCGCUGUUUGCGAUAUACGGCAAGCGGCCAAGCGAAAGCGUUAAGUAUUCCACCUGGGGAGUACGCCGGCAACGGUGAAACUCAAAGGAAUUGACGGGGGCCCGCACAAGCGGAGGAACAUGUGGUUUAAUUCGAUGAUACGCGAGGAACCUUACCCGGGCUUGAAAGUUACUGACGAUUCUGGAAACAGGAUUUCCCUUCGGGACAGGAAACUAGGUGCUGCAUGGUUGUCGUCAGCUCGUGCCGUGAGGUGUCGGCUUAAGUGCCAUAACGAGCGCAACCCUUGUUGUCAGUUACUAACAGGUGAUGCUGAGGACUCUGACAAGACUGCCAUCGUAAGAUGUGAGGAAGGUGGGGAUGACGUCAAAUCAGCACGGCCCUUACGUCCGGGGCUACACACGUGUUACAAUGGGGGGUACAGAGGGCCGCUACCACGCGAGUGGAUGCCAAUCCCUAAAACCCCUCUCAGUUCGGACUGGAGUCUGCAACCCGACUCCACGAAGCUGGAUUCGCUAGUAAUCGCGCAUCAGCCACGGCGCGGUGAAUACGUUCCCGGGCCUUGUACACACCGCCCGUCACACCAUGAGAGUCGGGAACACCCGAAGUCCGUAGUCUAACCGCAAGGAGGGCGCGGCCGAAGGUGGGUUCGAUAAUUGGGGUG
rnacentral:rRNA from 1 species